ensembl:snoRNA small nucleolar RNA SNORA2/SNORA34 family
AUGGCCCUGCAUCAAGGAUGGCAGUUUUCUGAAGCUGUUGGUUUCAAGCAGAAGCCUAAAGUGGUAUCUUUCUAUGAUCUGUUAGCCAUUUCAUAACUUUAGAAAUAUAAUGGUUAAUUAGUUAGAAAGAAACAAAA